GUUUGGAUAAGCGCUGAAAGCAUCUAAGCGCGAAGCCAACUCCAAGAUGAACGUUCCCAUCCCUUUUAGGGAGUAAGACCCCCGGAAGACUACCGGGUUGAUAGGCAGAGUGUGUAAGCACAGUAAUGUGUUCAGCUAAUCUGUACUAAUAGGUCGUGAGGCUUGGCCAU
rnacentral:rRNA from 1 species